GCCCCCGUCUUACCCAGCAGUGUUUGGGUGCUGGUCGGGAGUCUCUAAUACUGCCGGGUAAUGAUGGAGGC
rfam:Myotis davidii contig49382, whole genome shotgun sequence.